rnacentral:sRNA from 1 species
AACUCAACCGAAAGACUCCAGAGAGCAGAAGAUGGAAGGAGACUUCUCGGUGUGCAGGAACUGGUAAGAAAGCACUUUCUCCAGCGGCAGACCCGGGCUGGCGAGGGAGAGACGCAGACGACAUAGGGCUGUUUCUGAAGGGAGCAGAAAAUGGUUCCUGCAUAAAAACAUUUAGGAGGACAAGCAGCUAGAGACCGCGGGACCCAAGGCAAAAGACAUGUAGCCUCUGCCCACUUCACUCUCCAUGAGGCUUACUGCCUGCGGUUCCUGGUCCUGUGUCCGGAGUGUGAGGAGCC